rnacentral:lncRNA from 1 species
AAAUAUAGGAAAAAAAUCAAUCAUUUUCAGAGCUGAACAAACUAAAUGUUUACCAUAACAGAUCCUCAAUUAGGAAAUAUCUAAAUAAUAUACCUCAGAAGAGAGACUAUGGUCCCAGCUGGAAAAUUUAAAAUGCAAGAAGAAAUGCUGGAGUGCAGUAGUGCAGUCACAGCUGAGUGCAGCCUCCACCUCCCAGGGCUCAAGCAAUCCUGCCACCUCAGUCUACCAAGUAGCUGGAACUACAGACCUGAACCACCACACCCAGCUAAUUUUUUAUUUUUUGUAAAGAUGGGGUCUCACUGUGUUGCCCUGGCUGACCUCAAACUCCUGAACCCAAGCAAUCCUUUCACCACCUUGGCCUCCCAAAGUGUUAGGAUUAGAGGAAUGAGCCAUUGUGUCCAGCCAAAAUAAAUAUUUUAAGCAUGUAUAACUACUAAAGAGGGAUGCUGUGUAUACUGGAGGAGAUUAGAAGAGAACAAUACUAGAAGCAAG